UUGCUCCGUGGUUCAAUGGUAGAAUAGCGCACUGUUAAUGCGAUGGUUGCUGGUUCGAGUCCAGCCGGAGCAGU
rnacentral:tRNA from 1 species